AACGUAGGACACAAGCGUUAUCCGGAAUUAUUGGGCGUAAAGAGCUCGUAGGCGGUUUGUCGCGUCUGCCGUGAAAGUCCGGGGCUCAACUCCGGAUCUGCGGUGGGUACGGGCAGACUAGAGUGAUGUAGGGGAGACUGGAAUUCCUGGCGUAGCGGUGAAAUGCGCAGAUAUCAGGAGGAACACCGAUGGCGAAGGCAGGUCUCUGGGCAUUAACUGACGCUGAGGAGCGAAAGCAUGGGGAGCGAACAGG
rnacentral:rRNA from 1 species